AGUGAACGCUGGCGGUAGGCCUAACACAUGCAAGUCGAACGGCAGCACAGUAAGAGCUUGCUCUUACGGGUGGCGAGUGGCGGACGGGUGAGGAAUACAUCGGAAUCUACUUUUUCGUGGGGGAUAACGUAGGGAAACUUACGCUAAUACCGCAUACGACCUACGGGUGAAAGCAGGGGAUCUUCGGACCUUGCGCGAUUGAAUGAGCCGAUGUCGGAUUAGCUAGUUGGCGGGGUAAAGGCCCACCAAGGCGACGAUCCGUAGCUGGUCUGAGAGGAUGAGGAGCGACAGUGGAACUGAGACACGGUCCAGACUACUAAGCGAGGCACCGUCGGGGAAUAUGGGACAAUGGGCCCUAGCCUUAUCCAGCCAUACCGCGUGGGUGAAGAAGGCCUUCGGGUUGUAAAGCCCUUUUGUUGGGAAAGAAAAGCAGCAGGUUACUACCCCGCUGGUCUGACGGGACCCGAAGAAUAAGCACCGGCUAACUUAGUG
rnacentral:rRNA from 1 species